rnacentral:lncRNA from 1 species
AUCGCCUAGUUUGUAAAACUCGCCAACACUUAAGCAAAAAGUCGAAAAAGGGGUAAAAACUCGCAUCAGUAGUCCGAAUGACACGCAAACACACUAAUAGCACCGCGUAGGUAAUAGACACGCGUUAGAACUUAUGGGACUCGAUUCCGACAUACGGAGACCGAGUUAUCGCGGAGUUUGCAAAACUCGCCAACACUUAGGCAAAAAGCCGAAAAAGAGGUCAAAACCCGCAUCUGCCGUCCGAAUGACACGAAUACACAGAUAUAGCACCGUGCAGGUAAUAGACACGCGUUAGAACCUACGGGACUCGAUUCUGACAUACGGAGACCGAGUUAUUGCACAGUUUGCAAAACUCGCCAACACUUAGGCAAAAAGCCGAAAAAGAGGUCAAAACUCGCAUCGGCCAUCCGAAUGAUAUGCAAACACACACAUAGAACCGCGUAGGUAAUAGACACGCAUUAGAACUUACGGGACUCGAUUCCGACAUACGGAGACCGAGUUAUCAUCUAAUUUGCAAAACACGCCAACACUUAGGCAAAAAGAGGAAAAAGAGGUCAAAAACCCGCAUCGGCUGUUCGAAUGACACGCAAACACACACAUAACACUGCGUAGGUAAUAGUCAUGCAUUAGAACUUACGGGACUCCAAUCUGACAUACGAAAACUGAGUUAUCGUCCAGUUUGCAAAACUCGCCAACACUUAGGCAAAAAGAGAAAAAACAGGUCAAAACCCGCAUCGGCCAUCUGAAUGAUACGCAACCACACACAUAGCACCGCGUAGGUAAUAGACACGCGUUAGAACUUACGGGACUCGAUUCCGACAUACGGAGACUGAGUUAUCGCCCAGUUUGCAAAACUCGUCAACGCUUAGGCAAAAAGUCGAAAAAGGGGUCAAAACUCGCAUCGGUCGUCCGAAUGACACGCCAACACACUAAUAGUACCGCGUAGGUAAUAGUCAUGCAUUAGAACUUACGGUACUCUAUUUCGAGUCGUCCGAAUGACACGCCAACACACUAAUAGUACCGCGUAGGUAAUAGACACGCGUUAGAACUUACGGGACUCGAUUCCGACAUAAGGAGACCGAGUUAUGACCCAGUUUGCAAAACUCGCCAACAUUUAGGCAAAAAGCCAAAAAAGACGUCAAAACCCGCAUCGGCCGUCCGAAUGACACGCAAACACACACAUAGAACCGCGUAGGUAAUUGACACGCAUUAGAACUUACGGUACUCGAUUUCGACAUAUGGAGACCGAUUUAUCGCCCAGUUUGCAAAACUCACCAACACUUAAGCAAAAAGACGAAAAAGAGGUCAAAACCCGCAUCGGCCGUCUGAAUGACACGCAAACACACACAUAACACCGCGUAGGUAAUAGUCAUGCAUUAGAACUUACGGGACUCGAUUCCGACAUACGGAGACCGAGUUAUCGCCUAAUUUGCAAAACACGCCAACACUUAGGCAAAAAGACGAAAAACAGGUCAAAACCCGCAUCGGCCGUCCGAAUGACACGCAAACACACACAUAGUACCGCGUAGAUAAUUGACACGCAUUAGAACUUGCGGUACUCGAUUUCGACAUAUGAAGACCGAGUUAUCACCCAGUUUGCAAAACUCGCCAACACUUAGGCAAAAAGACGAAAAAGAGGUCAAAACCAGCAUCGGCCGUCCGAAUGACACACAAACACACACAUAGCACCGCGUAGGUAAUAGACACGCGUUAGAACUUACGGGACUCGAUUCCGACAUACGGAGACCGAGUUAUCGCCCAGUUUGCAAAACUCGCCAACACUUAGGCAAAAAGCCGAAAAAGAGGUCAAAACCCGCACCGGCCGUCCGAAUGACACGCAAACACACACAUAGCACCGCGUAGGUAAUAGACACGCGUUAGAACUUACGGGACUCGAUUCCGACAUACGGAGACCGAGUUAUCGCCCAGUUUGCAAAACUCGCCAACACUUAGGCAAAAAGCCGAAAAUGAGGUCAAAACCCGCACCGGCAGUCCGAAUGACACGCAAACACACACAUAGCACCGCGUAGGUAAUAGACACGCGUUAGAACUUACGGGACUCGAGUCUGACAUACGGAGACCGAGUUAUCGCCCAGUUUACAAAACUCGCCAACACUUGGGCAAAAAGCCAAAAAAGAGGUCAAAACCCUGAUCGACCGUCCGAAUGACAUGCAAACACACACAUAGAACCGCGUAGGUAAUUGACACGCAUUAGAACUUACGGGACUCGAUUCCGACAUACGGAGACCGAGUUAUCGCGGAUUUUGCAAAACUCGCCAACACUUAGGCAAAAAGCCUAAAAAGGGGUCAAAACUCGCAUCGGUCGUCCGAAUGACACGCCAACACACUAAUAGCACCGCGUAGGUAAUAUACACGCAUUAGAACUUACGGGACUCGAUUCCGACAUACGGAGACCGAGUUAUCGCGGAGUUUGCAAAACUCGCCAACACUUAGGCAAAAUGCCAAAAAAGAGGUCAAAACCCGCAUCUGCCGUCCGAAUGACACGCAAACACAUUAAUAGCACCGCGUAGGUAAUAGACACACGUUAGAACUUACGGGACUCGAUUCCGACAUACAAAGACCGAGUUAUCGCGGAGUUUGUAAAACUCGCCAACACUUGGGCAAAAAGCCGAAAAAGAGGUCAAAACCCGCAUCUGCCGUCGAAUGACACGAAUACACACAUAUAGCACCGUGCAGGUAAUAGACACGCGUUAGAACUUACGGGACUCGAUUCUGACAUACGGAGACCGAGUUAUUGCCCAGUUUGCAAAACUCGCCAACACUUAGGCAAAUAGCCGAAAAAGAGGUCAAAACUCGCAUCGGCAGUCCGAAUGACAUACAAACACACACAUAGAACUGCGUAGGUAAUAGACACACAUUAGAACUUACGGGACUCGAUUCCGACAUACGGAGACCGAGUUAUCGCCUAGUUUGUAAAACUCGCCAACACUUAGGCAAAAAGACGAAAAAUAGGUCAAAACCCGCAUCGGUCGUCUGAAUGACACGCAAACACACACAUAACACCGCGUAGGUAAUAGUAAUGCAUUAGAACUUACGAGACUCGAUUCCAACAUACAGAGACUGAUUUAUCGCCCAGUUUGUAAAAGUUGCCAACACUUAGGCAAAAAGACGAAAAAUAGGUCAAAACCCGCAUCGGUCGUCCAAAUAACACGCAAACACACACAUAGCACCGCGUAGGUAAUUGACACGCGUAAGAACUUACGGGAUUCGAUUCCGACAUACGGAGACUGAGUUAUCGCCCAGUUUGCAAAACUCGCCAACAAUUAGGCAAAAAGACGAAAACAGGUCAAAACCCGCAUUGGCCGUCCGAAUGACACGCAAACACACACAUAGCACCGCAUAGGUAAUUGACACGCAUUAGAACUAAUGGGACUCGAUUCCGACAUACAUAGACCGAGUUAUCGCCAGUUUGCAAAACUCGCCAAGACUUAGGCAAAAAGCCAAAAAAGAGGUCAAAACCCGCAUCGGCCGUCCGAAUGACACGCAAACACACACAUAGCACCGCGUAGGUAAUAGACACGCGUUAGAACUUACGGGACUCGAUUCCGACAUACGGAGACCGAGUUAUCGCCCAGUUUGCAAAACUCGCCAACACUUAGGCAAAAAGUCGAAAAAGGGGUCAAAACUCGCAUCGGUAGUCCGAAUGACACGCAAACACACAAAUAGCACCGCGUAGGUAAUAGACACGCGUUAGAACUUACGGGACUCGAUUCCGACAUACGGAGACUGAGUUAUCGCCCAGUUUGCAAAACUCGCCAACACUUAGGCAAAAAGUCGAAAAAGGGGUCAAAACUCGCAUCGGUAGUCCGAAUGACACGCAAACACACUAAUAGCACCGCGUAGGUAAUAGACACGCGUUAGAACUUACGGGACUCGAUUCCGACAUACGGAGACCGAGUUAUCGCGCAGUUUGCAAAACUCGCCAACACUUAGGCAAAAAGCCGAAAAAGAGGUCAAAACCCACAUCUGCCGUCCGAAUGACACGCAACCACACAUAUAGCACCGUGUAGGUAAUAGACACGCCUUAGAACUUACGGGACUCGAUUCUGACGUACGGAGACCGAGUUAUUGCCCAGUUUGCAAAACUCGCCAACACUUAGGCAAAAAGUUGAAAAAGGGGUCAAAACUCGCAUCGGUCGUCCGAAUGACACGCCAACACACUAAUAGCACCGCGUAGGUAAUAGACACGUGUUAGAUCUUAUGGGACUCGAUUUUGACAUAUGGAGACCGAGUUAUCGCCCAAUUUGCAAAACUCGCCAACAAUUAGGCAAAAAGCUGAAAAAGAGGUCAAAAACCCGCAUCGGCCGUUCGAAUGACACGCAAACACACACAUAACACCGCGUAGGUAAUAGACAUGCAUUAGAACUUAUGGGACUAGAUUCCGACAUACGGAGACUGAGUUAUCGCCCAGUUUGCAAAACUCGCCAACACUUAGGCAAAAAGUCAAAAAAGGGGUAAAAACUCGAAUCAGUAGUCCGAAUGACACACAAACACACUAAUAGCACCGCGUAGGUAAUAGACACGCGUUAGAACUUACGGGACUCGAUUACGACAUACGGAGACCGAGUUAUCGCGGAGUUGGCAAAACUCGCCAACACUUAGGCAAAAAGCCGAAAAAGAUGUCAAAACCCGCAUCUGCCUUCCGAAUGACACGCAAACACAUAUAUAGCACCGUGUAGGUAAUAGACACGCGUUAGAACUUAUGGGACUCGAUUCUGACGUACGGAGACUGAGUUAUUGCCCAGUUUGCAAAACUCGCCAAGAUUUAGGCAAAAAGCCGAAAAAGAGGUCAAACUCGCAUCGGCCGUCCGAAUGACAUUCAAACACACACAUAGAACCGCGUGGGUAAUAGACAUGCAUUAGAACUUAUGGGACUCGAUUCCGACAUACGGAGACCGAGUUAUCGCCCAAUUUGCAAAAUUCGCCAACACUUAGGCAAAAAGCUGAAAAAGAGGUCAAAAACCGGCAUCGGCCAUUCGAAUGACACGCAAACAUGCACAUAACACAGCGUAGGUAAUAGACAUGCAUUAGAACUUACGGGACUCGAUUCCGACAUACGGAGACUGAGUUAUCGCCCAGUUUGCAAAACUCGCCAACACUUAGGCAAAAAGUCGAAAAAGGGGUCAAAACUCGCAUCGGUAGUUCGAAUGACACGCAAACACAUUAAUAGCACCGCGUAGGUAAUAGACACGCGUUAGAACUUACAGGACUCGAUUCCGACAUACGGAGACCGAGUUAUCGCGGAGUUUGCAAAACUCGCCAGCACUUGGGCAAAAAGCCGAAAAAGAGGUCAAAACCCGCAUCUGCCGUCCGAAUGACACGAAUACACACAUAUAGCACCGUGCAGGGAAUAGACACGCGUUAGAACUUACGGGACUCGAUUCUGACAUACGGAGUCCGAGUUAUUGCCCAGUUUGCAAAACUCGCCAACACUUAGACAAAAAGCCGAAAAAGAGGUCAAAACUCGCAUCGGCCGUCCGAAUGACAUGCAAACACACAUAGAACCGCGUAGGUAAUAGACACACAUUAGAACUUACGGGACUCGUUUCCGACAUACGGAGACCGAGUUAUCGUCUAAUUUGCAAAACACGCCAACACUUAGGCAAAAAGAGGAAAAAGAGGUCAAAAACCCGCAUCGGCCGUUUGAAUGACACGCAAACACACACAUAACACCGCGUAGGUAAUAGUCAUGCAUUAGAACUUACGGGACUCCAUUCUGACAUACGGAAACUGAGUUAUCGCCCAGUUUGCAAAACUCGCCAACACUUAGGCAAAAAGACAAAAAAUAGGUCAAAACCCGCAUCGGCCGUCUGAAUGACACGCAAACACACACAUGGCACCGCGUAGGUAAUAGACACGCGUUAGAACUUACGGGACUCGAUUCCGACAUACGGAGACUGAGUUAUCGCCUAGUUUGCAAAACUCGCCAACACUUAGGCAAAAAGCCAAAAAAGACGUCAAAACCCGCAUCGGCCGUCCGAAUGACACGCAAACACACACAUAGAACCGCGUAGCUAAUUGACACGCAUUAGAACUUACGGUACUCUAUUUCGACAUAUGGAGACCGAGUUAUCGCCCAGUUUGCAAAACUCGCCAACACUUAAGCAAAAAGACGAAAAAGAGGUCAAAACCCGCAUCGGCCGUCCGAAUGACACACAAACACACACAUAGCACCGCGUAGGUAAUAGACACGCGUUAGAACUUACGAGACUCGAUUCCGACAUACAAAGACUGAGUUAUCGCCCAGUUUGCAAAACUCGCCAACACUUAGGCAAAAAGUCAAAAAAGGGGUCAAAACUCGCAUCGUUCGUCCGAAUGACACGCAAACACACUAAUAGCAUCGCGUAGGUAAUAGAAACGCGUUAGAACUUACGGGACUCGAUUCCGACAUACGGAGACCGAGUUAUCGCGGAGUUUGCAAAACUCGCCAACACUUAGGCAAAAAGCUGAAAAAGAGGUCAAAAACCCGCAUCGGCCGUUCGAAUGACACGCAAACACACACAUAACACCGCGUAGGUAAUAGACAUGCAUUACAACUUACGAGACUCGAUUCCGACAUACGGAGACUGAGUUAUCGCCCAGUUUGCAAAACUCGCCAACACUUAGGCAAAAAGUCAAAAAAGGGGUCAAAACUAGCAUCGGUAGUCCGAAUGACACGCAAACACACUAAUAGCACCGCGUAGGUAAUUGACACGCGUUAGAACUUACAGGACUCGAUUCCGACAUACGGAGACCGAGUUAUCGCGGAGUUUGCAAAACUCGCCAACACUUGGGCAAAAAACCGAAAAAGAGGUCAAAACCCGCAUCUGCCGUCCGAAUGACACGAAUACACACAUAUAGCACCGUGCAGGUAAUAGACAUGCGUUAGAACUUACGGGACUCGAUUCUGACAUACGGAGACCGAAUUAUUGCCCAGUUUACAAAACUCGCCAACACUUAGGCAAGAAGCCGAAAAAGAGGUCAAAACUCGCAUCGGCCGUCCGAAUGACAUACAAACACACACAUAGAACCGCGUAGGUAAUAGAUAUGCAUUAGAACUUACGGGACUCGAUUCCGACAUACGGAGACCGAGUUAUCGCCUAGUUUGUAAAACUCGCCAACACUUAGGCAAAAAGACGAAAAACAGGUCAAAACCCGCAUCGGUCGUCUAAAUGACACGCAAACACACGCAUAGCACUGCGUAGGUAAUUGACACGCGUAAGAACUUACGGGACUCGAUUCCGACAUACGGAGACUGAGUUAUCGCCCAGUUUGCAAAACUCGCCAAUAAUUAGGCAAAAAGACGAAAAACAGGUCAAAACCCGCAUCGGCCGUCCGAAUGACACGCAAACACACACAUAGCACCGCGUAGGUAAUUGACACGUAUUAGAACUAAUGGGACUCGAUUCCGACAUACAGAGACCGAGUUAUCGACAGUUUGCAAAACUCGCCAAGACUUAGGCAAAAAGCCAAAAAAGAGGUCAAAACCCGCAUCGGUCGUCCGAAAGACACGCAAACACACACAUAGAACCGCGUAGGUAAUUGACACGCAUUAGAACUUACGGUACUCGAUUUCGACAUAUGGAGACCGAGUUAACACCCAGUUUGCAAAACUCGCCAACACUUAGGCAAAAAGACGAAAAAGAGGUCAAAACCCGCAUCGGCCGUCCGAAUGACACACAAACAUACACAUAGCACCGCGUAGGUAAUAGACACGCGUUAGAACUUACGGGACUCGAUUCCGACAUACGAAGACUGAGUUAUCGCCCAGUUUGCAAAACUCGCCAACACUUAAGCAAAAAGUCGAAAAAGGGGUCAAAACUCGCAUCGGUCGUCCGAAUGACACGCAAACACACACAUAGCGUCGCGUAGGUAAUAGACAUGCGUUAGAACUUACGGGACUCAAUUCCGACAUACGGAGACCGAGUUAUCGCGGAGUUUGCAAAACUCGCCAACACUUAGGCAAAAAGCCAAAAAAGAUGUCAAAACCCAGAUCUGCCGUCCGAAUGACACGCCAACACACUAAUAGCACCGCGUAGGUAAUAGACACGCGUUAGAACUUAUGGGACUCGAUUUUGACAUAUGGGGACCGAGUUAUCGCCCAAUUUGCAAAACUCACCAACAAUUAGACAAAAAGCUGAAAAAGAGGUCAAAAACCCGCAUCGGCCGUUCGAAUGACACGCAACACACACAUAACACCGCGUAGGUAAUAGACAUGCAUUAGAACUUACGGGACUCGAUUCCAACAUACGGAGACUGAGUUAUCGCCCAGUUUGCAAAACUCGCCAACACUUAGGCAAAAAGUCGAAAAAGGGGUAAAAACUCGUAUCGGUAGUCCGAAUGACACGCAAACACACUAAUAGCACCGCGUAGGUAAUAGACACGCGUUAGAACUUACGGGACUCGAUUCCGACAUACGGAGACCGAGUUAUCGCGGAGUUUGCAAAACUCGCCAACACUUAGGCAAAAAGCCGAAAAAGAAGUCAAAACCCGCAUCUGCCGUCCGAAUGACAUGCAAACACACAUAUAGCACCGUGUAGGUAAUAGACACGUGUUAGAACUUACGGGACUCGAUUCUGACGUACGGAGACUGAGUUAUUGCCCAGUUUGCAAAACUCGCCAACACUUAGGCAAAAAGCCGAAAAGAGGUCAAAACUCGCAUCGGCCGUCCGAAUGACAUACAAACACACACAUAGAACUGCGUAGGUAAUAGACACGCAUUAGAACUUACGGGACUCGAUUCCGACAUACGGAGACUGAGUUAUUGCCCAGUUUUCAAAACUCGCCAACACUUAGGCAAAAAGUCAAAAAGGGGUAAAAACUCGCAUCGGUAGUCCGAAUGACACGCAAACACACUAAUAGCACUGCGUUAUUGCGGAGUUUGUAAAACUCAUCAACACUUGGGCAAAAAGCCGAAAAAGAGGUCAAAACCCGCAUCUGUCGUCCGAAUGACACGAAUACACACAUAUAGCACCGUGAAGGUAAUAGACACGCGUUAGAACUUACGGGACUCGAUUCUGACAUAUGGAGACCGAGUUAUUGCCCAGUUUGCAAAACUCGCCAACACUUAGGCAAAAAGUCGAAAAAGGGGUCAAAACUCGCAUCGGUCGUCCGAAUGACACGCCAACACACUAAUAGCACCGCGUAGGUAAUAGACACUCGUUCGAACUUACGGGACUCGAUUUUGACAUAUGGAGACCGAGUUAUCGCCCAAUUUGCAAAACUCGCCAAUAAUUAGGCAAAAAGCUGAUAAAGAGGUCAAAAACCCGCAUCGGUCGUUCGAAUGACACGCAAACACACAUAUAGCACCGUGUAGGUAAUAGACACGCGUUAGAACUUACGGGUCUCGAUUUUGACAUGCAGAGACCGAGUUAUUGCCCAGUUUGCAAAACUCGCCAACACUUAGGCAAAAAGCCGAAAAAGAGGUCAAAACUCGCAUCGGCCGUCCGAAUGAUAUGUAAACACAAACAUAGAACCGCGUGGGUAAUAGACACACAUUAGAACUUACGGGACUCGAUUCCGACAUACGGAGACCGAGUUAUCGCCCAAUUUGCAAAACUCGCCAACACUUAGGCAAAAAGCAGAAAAAGAGGUCAAAAACCCACAUCGGCCGUUCGAAUGACAUGCAAACCCACACAUAACACACCGUAGGUAAUAGACAUGCAUUAGAACUUACGGGACUCGAUUCCGACAUACGGAGACUGAGUUAUCGCCCAAUUUGCAAAACUCGCCAACACUUAGGCAAAAAGCUGAAAAAGAGGUCAAAACUCGCAUCGGCCGUCCGAAUGACAUGCAAACACACACAUAGAAUUGCGUAGCUAAUAGACACGAAUUAGAACUUACGGGACUCGAUUCUGACAUACGGAGACCGAGUUAUCGCCCAAUUUGCAAAACUCGCCAACACUUAGGCAAAAAGCUGAAAAAGAGGUUAAAAACCCGCAUCGGCCGUUCGAAUGACACGCAAACACACACAUAACACCGCGUAGGUAAUAGACAUGCAUUAGAACUUACGGGACUCGAUUCCGACAUACAGAGACUGAGUUAUCGCCCAGUUUGCAAAACUCGCCAACACUUAGGCAAAAAGUCAAAAAGGGGGUCAAAACUCGCAUCGGUAGUCCGAAUGACACACAAAAACACUAAUAGCACCGCGUAGGUAAUAGACACGUGUUAGAACUUACGGGACUCGAUUCUGACAUACGGAGACCGAGUUAUCGCGGAGUUUGCAAAACUCGCCAACACUUGGGCAAAAAGCCGAAAAAGAGGUCAAAACCCGCAUCUGCCGUCUGAAUGACACGAAUACACACAUAUAGCACCGUGCAGGUAAUAGACACGCGUUAGAACUUACAGGACUCAAUUCUGACAUACGGAGAUCGAGUAAUUGUUCAGUUUGCAAAACUCGCCAACACUUAGGCAAAAAGCCGAAAAAGAGGUCAAAACUCGCAUCGGUCGUCCGAAUGACAUGCAAACACAAACAUAGAACCGCGCAGGUAAUAGACACGCAUUAGAACUUAUGCGACUCGAUUCUGACAUACGGAGAUCGAGUUAUCGCUCAGUUUGCAAAACUCGCCAACACUUAGGCAAAAAGUCGAAAAAGGGGUCAAAACUCGUAUCGGUCGUCCGAAUGACACGCCAACACACUAAUAGCACCGCGUAGGUAAUAGACACGCGUUAGACCUUAUGGGAAUCGAUUUUGACAUAUGGAGACCGAGUUAUCGCCCAAUUUGCAAAACUCGCCAACACUUAGGCAAAAAGCCAAAAAAGAGGUCAAAACCCGCAUCGGCCGUCCGAAUGACACGCAAACACACACAUAGCACCGCGUAGAUAAUUGACACGCAUAAGAACUUAUGGGACUCGAUUCUGACAUAUGGAGACCGAGUUAUCGCCCAGUUUGCAAAACUCGCCAAGACUUAGGCAAAAAGCCGAAAAAGAGGUCAAAACCCGCAUCGGCCGUCCGAAUGACACACAAACACACACAUAACACCGCGUAGGUAAUAGACACGCAUUAAAACUUAUGGGACUCGAUUCCGACAUACGGAGACCGAGUUAUCGCCCAGUUUGAAAAACUCGCCAACACUUGGGCAGAAAGCCAAAAAAGAGGUCAAAACCCGGAUCGGCUGUCCGAAUGACAUGCAAACACACACAUAGAACCGCGUAGGUAAUUGACACGCAUUAGAACUUACGGUACUCAAUUUUGACAUAUGGAGACCGAGUUAUUACCCAGUUUGCAAAACUCGCCAACACUUAGGCAAAAACACGAAAAAGAGGUCCAAACCCGCAUCGGUCGUCCGAAUGACACACAAACACACACAUAGCACAGUGUAGGUAAUAGACACACGUUAGAACUUUCGGGACUCGAUUCAGACAUACGGAGACUGAGUUAUCGCCCAGUUUGAAAAACUCGCCAACACUUAGGCAAAAAGUCGAAAAAGGGGUCAAAACUCGCAUCGGUCGUCCGAAUGACAUGCAAACAAACUAAUAGCAUCGCGUAGGUAAUAGACACGCGUUAGAACUUACGGGACUCGAUUCCGACAUACGUAGACCGAGUUAUCGCGGAGUUUGCAAAACUCGCCAACACUUAGGCAAAAAGCCGAAAAAGAGGUCAAAACCCGCAUUUGCCGUCCGAAUGACACGCAAACACACAUAUAGCACCGUGUAGGUAAUAGACAUGCGUUAGAACUUAUGGGACUCGAUUCUGACAUACAGAGACUGAGUUAUUGCCCAGUUUGCAAAACCCGCCAACACUUAGGCAAAAAGCCGAAAAAGAGGUCAAAUCUCACAUCGGCCGUCCGAAUGACAUGCAAACACACACAUAGAACCGCGUGGGUAAUAGACACGCAUUAGAACUUACGGGACUCGAUUCCGACAUACGGAGACCGAGUUAUCGCCCAAUUUGUAAAACCCGCCAACACUUAGGCAAAAAGCUGAAAAAGAGGUCAAAAACCCGCAUCGGCCGUUCGAAUGACACGCAAACACACACAUAACACCGCGUAGGUAAUUGACAUGCAUUAGAACUUACGGGACUCAAUUCCGACAUACGGAGACUGAGUUAUUGCCCAGUUUGCAAAACUCGCCAACACUUAGGCAAAAAGUCAAAAAAUGGGUCAAAACUCGCAUCGGUAGUCCGAAUGACACGCAAACUAACUAAUAGCACCGCGUAGGUAAUAGACACGCGUUAGAACUUACGAGACUCGAUUCUGACAUACAGAGACCGAGUUAUCGCGGAGUUUGCAAAACUCGCCAACACUUGGGCAAAAAGCCGAAAAGAGGUCAAAACCCGCAUCUGCCAUCCGAAUGACACAAAUACACACAUAUAGCACCGUGCAGGUAAUAGACACGCGUUAGAACUUACGGGACUCGAUUCUGACAUAUGGAGACCCAGUUAUUGCCCAGUUUGCAAAACUCGCAAACACUUAAGCAAAAAGCCGAAAAAGAGGUCAAAACUCGCAUCGGCCCUCCGAAUGACAUGCAAACACACACAUAGAACUGCAUAGGUAAUAGACACGCAUUAGAACUUACGGGACUCGAUUCCGACAAACGGAGACCGAGUUAUCGCCUAAUUUGCAAAACACGCCAACACUUAGGCAAAAAGAGGAAAAAGAGGUCAAAAACCCGCAUCGGCCGUUCGAAUGACACGCAAACACACACAUAACACCGCGUAUGUAAUUGUCAUGCAUUAGAACUUACAGGACUCGAUUCCGACAUACGGAGACUGAUUUAUCGCGGAGUUUGUAAAACUCACCAACACUUGGGCAAAAAGCCGAAAAAUAGGUCAAAACCCGCAUCGGCCGUCCGAAUGACACGCAAACAUACAUAGCACCGCGUAGGUAAUUGACACGCGUAAGAACUUACGGUACUCGAUUCUGAUAUAUGGAGACUGAGUUAUCGCCCAGUUUGCAAAACUUGCCAACAAUUAGGCAAAAUGACGAAAAAUAGGUCAAAACCCGCAUAGGCCGUCUGAAUGACACGCAAACACACACAUAGAACCGCGUAGGUAAUUGACACACAUUAGAACUUACGGUACUCGAUUUCGACAUAUGGAGACCGAGUUAUCACCCAGUUUGCAAAACUCACCAAUACUUAGGUAAAAAGACGAAAAAGAGGUCAAAACCCGCAUCGGCCGUCCGAAUGACACACAAACACACACAUAGCACCGCGUAGGUAAUAGACACGCGUUAGAACUUACGGGACUCGAUUCCGACAUACGAAGACUGAGUUAUCGCCUAGUUUGCAAAACUCGCCAACACUUAAGCAAAAAGUCGAAAAAGGGGUCAAAACUCGCAUCGGUCGUCCGAAUGACACGCAAACACACACAUAGCAUCGCGUAGGUAAUAGACACGCGUUAGAACUUACGGGACUAGAUUCCGACAUACGAAGACCGAGUUAUCGCGGAGUUUGCAAAACUCGCCAAUACUUAGGCAAAAAGCCGAAAAAGAGGUCAAAACCCGCAUCUGUCGUUCGUAUGACACGUAAACACAAAUAUAACACCGUGUAGGUAAUAGACACACCUUAGAACUUACGGGACUCGAUUCCGACAUACGGAGACUUAGUUAUCGCCCAGUUUGCAAAACUCGCCAACACUUAGUCAAAAAGUGAAAAAGGGGUAAAAACUCGCAUCGGUAGUCCGAAUGACACGCAAACACACUAAUAGCACCGCGUAGGUAAUAGACAUGCGUUAGACCUUACGGGACUCGAUUCUGACAUACGGAGACCGAGUUAUAGCGGAGUUUGCAAAACUCGUCAACACUUGGGCAAAAAGCCGAAAAAGAGGUCAAAACCCGCAUCUGCCGUUCGUAUGACACGCAAACACACAUAUAGCACCGUGUAGGUAAUAGACACGCCUUAGAACUUACGGGACUCGAUUCUGACAUACGGAGACUUAGUUAUCGCCCAGUUUGCAAAACUCGCCAAUACUUAGGCAAAAAGUCGAAAAAGGGGUAAAAACUCGCAUCGGUAGUCCGAAUGACACGCAAACACCCUAAUAGCACCGCGUAGGUAAUAGACACGCGUUAGAAGUUACGGGACUCGAUUCUGACAUACGGAGACCGAGUUAUAGCGGAGUUUACAAAACUCGCCAACAGUUGGGCAAAAAGCCAAAAAAGAGGUCAAAACCCGGAUCGGCCGUCCGAAUGACAUGCAAACACACACAUAGAACCGUGUAGGUAAUUGACACGCAUUAGAACUUACGGUACUCAAUUUUGACAUAUGGAGACCGAGUUAUUACCCAGUUUGCAAAACUCGCCAACACUUAGGCAAAAACACGAAAAAGAGGUCAAAACCCGCAUCGGCCGUUCGAAUGACACACAAACAAACACAUAACACAACGUAGGUAAUAGACACGCGUUAGAACUUACGGGACUCGAUUCAGACAUACGGAGACUGAGUUAUCGCCCAGUUUGAAAAACUCACCAACAAUUAGGAAAAAUGUCGAAAAAGGGGUCAAAACUCGCAUCGGUCGUCUGAAUGACACGCAAACACACUAAUAGGAUCGCGUAGGUAAUAGACACGCGUUAGAACUUACGGGACUCGAUUCCGACAUACGGAGACCGAGUUAUCGCGGAGUUUGCAAAACUCGCCAACACUUAGGCAAAAAGCCGAAAAAGAGGUCAAAACUCGCAUCGGCCCUCCGAAUGACAUGCAAACACACACAUAGCACCGCGUAGGUAAUAGACACGCGUUAGAACUGACAGGACUCGAUUCUGAUAAACGGAGACCGAGUUAUCGCCUAAUUUGCAAAACUCGCCAACACUUAGGCAAAAAGCCGAAAAAGAGGUCAAAACUCGCAUCGGCCCUCCGAAUGACAUGCAAACACACACAUAGCACCGCGUAGGUAAUAGACACGCGUUAGAACUGACAGGACUCGAUUCUGAUAAACGGAGACCGAGUUAUCGCCUAAUUUGCAAAACUCGCCAACACUUAGGCAAAAAGCCGAAAAAGAGGUCAAAACUCGCAUCGGCCCUCCGAAUGACAUGCAAACACACACAUAGCACCGCGUAGGUAAUAGACACGCGUUAGAACUGACAGGACUCGAUUCUGAUAAACGGAGACCGAGUUAUCGCCUAAUUUGCAAAACUCGCCAACACUUAGGCAAAAAGCCGAAAAAGAGGUCAAAACUCGCAUCGGCCCUCCGAAUGACAUGCAAACACACACAUAGCACCGCGUAGGUAAUAGACACGCGUUAGAACUGACAGGACUCGAUUCUGAUAAACGGAGACCGAGUUAUCGCCUAAUUUGCAAAACUCGCCAACACUUAGGCAAAAAGCCGAAAAAGAGGUCAAAACUCGCAUCGGCCCUCCGAAUGACAUGCAAACACACACAUAGAACCGCGUAGGUAAUAGACACGCAUUAGAACUUACGGGACACGAUUCCAACAUAUGGAGACCGAGUUAUCGCCUAGUUGGCAAAACUCGCCAACACUUAGGCAAAAAGAUGAAAAAUAGGUCAAAACCCGCAUCGGUCUUCUGAAUGACACGUAAACACACACAUAACACCGCGUAGGUAAUUGUCAUGUAUUAGAACUUACAGGACUCGAUUCCGACAUACGGAGACUGAUUUAUAGGCCAGGUUGCAAAACUUGUUAACUCUUAGGCAAAAAGCCGAAAAAGAGGUCAAAACCCGCAUCUGCCAUUCGUAUGACACGCAAACACACAUAUAGCACCGUGUAGGUAAUAGACACGCCUUAGAACUUACGGGACUCGAUUCUGACAUACAGAGACCGAGUUAUUGCCCAGUUUGCAAAACUCGCCAAUACUUAGGCAAAAAGUCGAAAAAGGGGUAAAAACUCGCAUCGGUAGUCCGAAUGACACGCAAACACCCUAAUAGCACCGCGUAGGUAAUAGACAUCGGAGACCGAGUUAUCGCCCAAUUUGUAAAACCCGCCAACACUUAGGCAAAAACACGAAAAAGAGGUCAAAACCCGGAUCGGCCGUCCGAAUGACAUGCAAACACACACAUAGAACCGCGUAGGUAAUUGACAUGCAUUAGAACUUACGGGACUCGAUUCUGACAUACAGAGACCGAGUUAUUGCCCAGUUUGCAAAACUCGCCAAUACUUAGGCAAAAAGUCGAAAAAGGGGUAAAAACUCGCAUCGGUAGUCCGAAUGACACGCAAACACCCUAAUAGCACCGCGUAGGUAAUAGACAUCGGAGACCGAGUUAUCGCCCAAUUUGUAAAACCCGCCAACACUUAGGCAAAAACACGAAAAAGAGGUCAAAACCCGGAUCGGCCGUCCGAAUGACAUGCAAACACACACAUAGAACCGCGUAGGUAAUUGACAUGCAUUAGAACUUACGGGACUCGAUUCUGACAUACAGAGACCGAGUUAUUGCCCAGUUUGCAAAACUCGCCAAUACUUAGGCAAAAAGUCGAAAAAGGGGUAAAAACUCGCAUCGGUAGUCCGAAUGACACGCAAACACCCUAAUAGCACCGCGUAGGUAAUAGACAUCGGAGACCGAGUUAUCGCCCAAUUUGUAAAACCCGCCAACACUUAGGCAAAAACACGAAAAAGAGGUCAAAACCCGGAUCGGCCGUCCGAAUGACAUGCAAACACACACAUAGAACCGCGUAGGUAAUUGACAUGCAUUAGAACUUACGGGACUCGAUUCUGACAUACAGAGACCGAGUUAUUGCCCAGUUUGCAAAACUCGCCAAUACUUAGGCAAAAAGUCGAAAAAGGGGUAAAAACUCGCAUCGGUAGUCCGAAUGACACGCAAACACACACAUAACACCGCGUAGGUAAUUGACAUGCAUUAGAACUUACGGGACUCGAUUCCGACAUACGGAGACUGAGUUAUUGCCCAGUUUGUAAAACUCGCCAACACUUAGGCAAAAAGUCAAAAAGGGGUAAAUACUCGAAUCGGUAGUCCGAAUGACACGCAAACACACUAAUAGCACCGUGUUAUCGCGGAGUUUGCAAAACUCACCAACACUUGGGCAAAAAGCCGAAAAAGAGGUCAAAACCGCAUCUGUCGUCCGAAUGACACGAAUACACACAUAUAGCACCGUGCAGGUAAUAGACACGCGUUAGAACUUACGGGACUCGAUUUUGACAUAUGGAGACCGAGUUAUUGCCCAGUUUGCAAAACUCGCCAACACUUAGGCAAAAAGCCGAAAAAGAGGUCAAAACUCGCAUCGGCCCUCCGAAUGACAUGCAAACACACACAUAGAACCGCGUAGGUAAUAUACACGCAUUAGAACUUACGGGACUCGAUUCCAACAUAUGGAGACCGAGUUAUCGCCUAGUUUGCAAAACUCGCCAACACUUAGGCAAAAAGACGAAAAAAUAGGUCAAAACCCGCAUCGGUCUUCUGAAUGACACGUAAACACACACAUAACACCGCGUAGGUAAUUGUCAUGUAUUAGAACUUACAGGACUCGAUUCCGACAUACGGAGACUGAUUUAUCGCCCAGUUUGCAAAACUUGCUAACUCUUAGGUAAAAAGACGAAAAACAGGUCAAAACCCGCAUCGGCCGUCCGAAUGACACGCAAACACACACAUAGCACCGCGUAGGUAAUUGACACGCGUAAGAACUUACGGGACUCGAUUCCGACAUACGGACACUAAGGUAUCCCCCAGUUUGCAAAACUCGCCAACAAUUAGGCAAAAAGACGAAAAAUAGGUCAAAACCCGCAUCGGCCGUCCGAAUGACACACAAACACACACAUAGCACCGCGUAAGUAAUAGACACGCGUUAGAAGUUACGGGACUCGAUUCCGACAUACGAAGACUGAGUUAUCGCCCAGUUUGCAAUACUCGCCAACACUUAGGCAAAAAGACGAAAAUAGGUCAAAACCCGCAUCGGUCGUCCGAAUGACACGCAAUCACACACAUAGCAUCGCGUAGGUAAUAGACACGCGUUAGAACUUACGGGACUCGAUUCCGACAUACGGAGACCGAGUUAUCGCGGAGUUUGCAAAACUCGCCAACACUUAGGCAAAAAGCCGAAAAAGAGGUCAAAACCCUCAUCUGCCGUUCUUAUGACACGCAAACACACAUAUAGCAUCGUGUAGGUAAUAGACACGCCUUAGAACUUACGGGACUCGAUUCCGACAUACGGAGACUUAGUUAUCGCCCAGUUUGCAAAACUCGCCAACACUUAGGCAAAAAGUCAAAAAAGGGGUAAAAACUCGCAUCGGUAGUACGAAUGACACGCAAACACACUAAUAGCACCGCGUAGGUAAUAGACACGAGUUAGAACUUACGGGACUCGAUUCCGACAUACGGAGACCAAGUUAUCGCGGGGUUUGCAAAACUCGCCAACACUUAGGCAAAAAGUCGAAAAAGAGGUCAAAACCCGCAUCUGCCGUCCGAAUGACACGCAAACACACAUAUAGCACUGUUUAGGUAAUAGACACGCGUUAGAACUUACGGGACUCGAUUUUGACGUACGGAGACCGAGUUAUUGCCCAGUUUGCAAAACUCGCCAACCCUUAGGCAAAAAGCUGAAAAAGAGUUCAAAACUCGCAUCGGCCGUCCGAAUGACAUACAAAUACACACAUAGAAACGCGUGGGUAAUUGACACGCAUUAGAACUUACGGGACUCGAUUCCGACAUACGGAGACCGAGUUAUCGUCCAAUUUGCAAAACUCGCCAAUACUUAGGCAAAAAGCUGAAAAAGAGGUCAAAAACCCGCAUCGGCCAUUCGAAUGACACGCAUACACACACAUAACACCGCGUAGGUAAUAGACAUGCAUUAGAACUUACGGGACUCGAUUCCGACAUACGGAGACCGAGUUAUCGCGGAGUUUGCAAAACUCGCCAACACUUGGGCAAAAAGCCGAAAAGAGGUCAAAACCCGCAUCGGCCGUUCGAAUGACACGCAAACACACUAAUAGCACCGCGUAGGUAAUAGACACGCGUUAGAACUUACGGGACUCGAUUCCGACAUACGGAGACCGAGUUAUCGCGGAGUUUGCAAAACUCGCCAACACUUGGGCAAAAAGCCGAAAAGAGGUCAAAACCCGCAUCUGCCGUCCGAAUGAUACGAAUACACACAUAUAGCACCGUGCUGGUAAUAGACACGCGUUAGAACUUACGGGACUCGAUUCUGACAUACGGGGUCCGAGUUAUUGCCCAGUUUGCAAAACUCGCCAACACUUAGGCAAAAAGCCAAAAAAGAGGUCAAAACUCGUAUCGGCCGUCCGAAUGACAUGCAAACACAAACAUAGAACCGCGUAGGUAAUAGACACGCAUUAGAACUUACGGGACUCGAUUCCGACAUACGGAGACUGAGUUAUCGCCCAGUUUGCAAAACUCGCCAACACUUAGGCAAAAAGACGAAAAACAGGUCAAAACCCGCAUCGGCCGUUUGAAUGACACGCAAACACACACAUAGCACCGCCUAGGUAAUAGACACGCGUUAGAACUUACGGGACUCGAUUCCGACAUAAGGAGACCGAGUUAUCGCCCAGUUUGCAAAACUCGCCAACACUUAGGCAAAAAGCCAAAAAAGAGGUCAAAACCCGCAUCGGUCGUCUGAAUGACACAAAAAUACACACAUAGCACCGCGUAGGUACUAGACUCGCGUUAGAACUUGCGGGACUCGAUUCAGACAUACGGAGACUGAGUUAUCGCCCAGUUUGAAAAACUCGUCAUCACUUAGGCAAAAAGUCGAAAAAGAAAUCAAAACCCGUAUCGGCCGUCCGAAUGAGACACAAACACACACAUAGCACCACAUAGGUAAUAGACAUGCCUUAGAACUUACGGGACUCGAUUCUGACAUACGGAGACUGAGUUAUCGCCCAGUUUGCAAAACUCGCCAAGACUUACGCAAAAAGCCGAAAAAGAGGUCAAAACCCGCAUCGGCCGUCUGAAUGACACACAAAUACACACAUAGCACCGCGUAGGUACUAGACACGCGUUAGAACUUACGGGACUCAAUUCAGACAUACGGAGACUGAGUUAUCGCCCAGUUUGAAAAACUCGUCAUCACUUAGGCAAAAAGUUGAAAAAGAAAUCAAAACCCGUAUCGGCCGUCCGAAUGAGACGCAAACACACACAUAGCACCACAUAGGUAAUAGACAUGCCUUAGAACUUACGGGACUCGAUUCAGACAUACGGAGACUGAGUUAUCGCCCAGUUUGAAAAACUCGUCAUCACUUAGGCAAAAAGUCGAAAAAGAAAUCAAAACCCGUAUCGGCCGUCCGAAUGACACACAAACACACACAUAAUACCGCGUAGGUAAUAGACACACGUUAGAAUUUACGGGACUCGAUUCCGACAUACGGAGACCGAGUUAUUGUCCAGUUUACAAAACACGCCAACACUUGGGCAAAAAGCCAAAAAAGAGGUCAAAACCCGGAUCGACCAUCCGAAUGACAUGCAAACACACACAUAGAACCGCGUAGGUAAUUGACAUGCAUUAGAACUUACGGUACUCAAUUUUGACAUACGGAGACCGAGUUAUCGCCCAAUUUGUAAAACUCGCCAACACUUGGGAAAAAAGCUGAAAAAGAGAUCAAAAACCCGCAUCGGCCGUUCGAAUGACACACAAACACACACAUAACACCGCGUAGGUAAUAGACAUGCAUUAGAACUCACGGGACUCGAUUCCGACAUACGGAGACUGAGUUAUCGCCCAGUUUGAAAAACUCGCCAACACUUAGGCAAAAAGUCGAAAAAGGGGUCAAAACUAGCAUCGGUCGUCCGAAUGACACGCAAACACACUAAUAGCAUCGCGUAGGUAAUAGACACGCGUUAGAACUUACGGGAUUCGAUUCCGACAUACGGAGACCGAGUUAUCGCGGAGUUUGCAAAACUCGCCAACACUUGGGCAAAAAGUCGAAAAAGAGGUCAAAACCCGCAUCUGCCGUCCGAAUGACACGAAUACACACAUAUAGCACCGUGCAGGUAAUAGACACGCGUUAGAACUUACGGGACUCGAUUCUGACAUACGGAGACCGAGUUAUCGCCCAGUUUGCAAAACUCGCCAAGACUUAGGCAAAAAGUUGAAAAAGAGGUCAAAACUCGCAUCGGCCGUCCGAAUGACACGCAAACACACACAUAGAACCGCGUGGGUAAUAGACACGCAUUAGAACUUACGGUACUCGAUUCCGACAUACGGAGACCGAGUUAUCGCCCAAUUUGUAAAACCGGCCAACACUUAGGCAAAAAGCUGAAAAAGAGGUCAAAGACCCGCAUCGGCCGUUCGAAUGACACGGAAACACACACAUAACACCGCGUAGGUAAUAGACAUGCAUUAGAACUUACGGGACUCGAUUCCGACAUACGGAGACUGAGUUAUUGCCUAGUUUGCAAAACUCGCCAACACUUAGGCAAAAAGUUAAAAAAGGGGUCAAAACUCGCAUCGGUAGUCCGAAUGACACGCAAACACACUAAUAGCACCGCGUAGGUAAUAGAAAUGCGUUAGAACUUACGGGACUCGAUUCCGACAUACGGAGACCGAGUCAUCGCGGAGUUUAAAAAACUCGCCAACACUUGGGCAAAAAGCCGAAAAAGAGGUCAAAACCCGCAUCUGCCGUCCGAAUGACACGAAUACACACAUAUAGCACCGCGUUGGUAAUAGACACGCGUUAGAACUUACGGGAUUCGAUUCUGACAUACGGAGACCGAGUUAUUGCCCAGUUUGCAAAACUCGCCAACACUUAGGUAAAAAGCCGAAAAAGAGGUCAAAACUCACAUCGGCCGUCCGAAUGACAUGCAAACACACACAUAGAACCGCGUGGGUAAUAGACACGCAUUAGAACUUACGGGACUCGAUUCCGACAUACGGAGACCAAGUUAUCGCCCAAUUUGUGAAACUCGCCAACACUUAGGCAAAAAGCUGAAAAGAGGUCAAAAACCCGCAUCGGCCGUUCGAAUGACACGCAAACACACACAUAACACCGCGUAGGUAAUAGACAUGCAUUAGAACUUACGGGACUCGAUUCCGACAUACGGAGACUGAGUUAUCGCCCAGUUUGCAAAACUCGCCAACACUUAGGCGAAAAGUCAAAAAAAGGGUCAAAACUCGCAUCGGUAGUCCGAAUGACACGCAAACACACUAAUAGCACCGCGUAGGUAAUAGACACGCGUUAGAACUUACGGGACUCGAUUCCGACAUACGGAGACCGAGUUAUCGCGGAUUUUGCAAAACUCGCCAACACUCGGGCAAAAAGCCGAAAAAGAGGUCAAAACCCGCAUCUGCCGUCCGAAUGACACGAAUACAGACAUAUAGCACCGUGCAGGUAAUAGACAUGCGUUAGAACUUACGGGACUCGAUUCUGACAUACGAAGACCGAGUUAUUGCCCAGUUUGCAAAACUCCCCAAUACUUAGGCAAAAAGACGAAAAAGAGGUCAAAACUUGCAUCGGCCAUCCGAAUGACAUGCAAACACACACAUAGAACUGCGUGGGUAAUAGACACGCAUUAGAACUUACGGGACUCGAUUCCGACAUACGGAGACCGAGUUAUCGCCUAGUUUGCAAAACUCGCCAACACUUAGGAAAAAAGACAAAAAAUAGGUCAAAACCUGCAUCGGUCGUCUGAAUGACACGCAAACACACACAUAACACCGCGUAGGUAAUAGUCAUGCAUUAGAACUUACGGGACUCGAUUCCGACAUACGGAGACUGAUUUAUCGCCCAGUUUGAAAAACUUGCCAACACUUAGGCAAAAAGACGAAAAAUAGGUCAAAACCCGCAUCGGCCGUCCGAAUGACACGCAAACACACACAUAGCACCGCGUAGGUAAUUGACACGCAUAAGAACUUACGGGAUUCGAUUCCGACAUACGGAGACUGAGUUAUCGCCAAGUUUGCAAAACUCGCAAACACUUAGGCAAAAAGCAAAAAAAGAGGUCAAAACUCGCAUCGGCCAUCCGAAUGACAUGCAAACACACACAUAGAACCGCGUAGGUAAUUGACACGCAUUAGAACUAAUGGGACUCGAUUCCGACAUACGAAGACUGAGUUAUCGCCCAGUUUGCAAAACUCGCCAAGACUUAGGCAAGAAGCCAAAAAAGAGGUCAAAACCCGCAUCGGCCGUCCGAAUGACACGCAAACACAUACAUAGCACCGCGUAGGUAAUUGACACGCAUUAGAACUAAUGGGACUCGAUUCCGACAUACGAAGACUGAGUUAUCGCCCAGUUUGCAAAACUCGCCAAGACUUAGGCAAGAAGCCAAAAAAGAGGUCAAAACCCGCAUCGGCCGUCCGAAUGACACGCAAACACAUACAUAGCACCGCGUAGGUAAUUGACACGCAUUAGAACUAAUGGGACUCGAUUCCGACAUACGAAGACUGAGUUAUCGCCCAGUUUGCAAAACUCGCCAAGACUUAGGCAAGAAGCCAAAAAAGAGGUCAAAACCCGCAUCGGCCGUCCGAAUGACACGCAAACACAUACAUAGCACCGCGUAGGUAAUUGACACGCAUUAGAACUAAUGGGACUCGAUUCCGACAUACGAAGACUGAGUUAUCGCCCAGUUUGCAAAACUCGCCAAGACUUAGGCAAGAAGCCAAAAAAGAGGUCAAAACCCGCAUCGGCCGUCCGAAUGACACACAAACACACACAUAGCACCGCGUAGGUAAUAGACACGCGUUAGAACUUACGGGACUCGAUUUCGACAUACGAAGACUGAGUUAUCGCCCAAUUUGCAAAACUCGCCAACACUUAAGCAAAAAGUUAAAAAAGGGGUCAAAACUCGCAUCGGUCGUCCGAAUGACACACCAACACACUAAUAGAACCGCGUAGGUAAUAGACACGCGUUAGAACUUACGGGACUUGAUUCCGACAUACGGAGACUGAGUUAUCGCCCAGUUUGCAAAACUCGCCAACACUUGGGCAAAAAGACGAAAAAGAGGUCAAAACCCGCAUCGGCUGUCCGAAUGACACACAAACACUCACAUAGCACCGCGUAGGUAAUAGACACGCGAUAGAACUUACGGGACUCGAUUCCGACAUACGAAGACUGAGUUAUCGCCCAGUUUGCAAAACUCGCCAACACUUAGGCAGAAAGCCUAAAAAGAGGUCAAAACCCGCAUCUGCCGUCCGAAUGACACACAAACACACACAUAUAGCACCGUGUAGGUAAUAGACACGCCUUAGAACUUAAAGGACUCGAUUCUGACGUACGGAGACCGAGUUAUUGCCCAGUUUGCAAAACUCGCCAACACUUAGGCAAAAAGUCGAAAAGAGGUCAAAACCCGCAUCGGCCGUCCGAAUGACACGCAAACACACUAAUAGCACCGCGUAGGUAAGAGACACGCGUUAGAACUUAUGGGACUCGAUUUUGACAUAUGGAGACCGAGUUAUCGCCCAAUUUGCAAAACUCGCCAACACUUAGGCAGAAAGCCUAAAAGAGGUCAAAACCCGCAUCGGCCGUCCGAAUGACACGCAAACACACUAAUAGCACCGCGUAGGUAAGAGACACGCGUUAGAACUUAUGGGACUCGAUUUUGACAUAUGGAGACCGAGUUAUCGCCCAAUUUGCAAAACUCGCCAACACUUAGGCAGAAAGCCUAAAAGAGGUCAAAACCCGCAUCGGCCGUCCGAAUGACACGCAAACACACUAAUAGCACCGCGUAGGUAAGAGACACGCGUUAGAACUUAUGGGACUCGAUUUUGACAUAUGGAGACCGAGUUAUCGCCCAAUUUGCAAAACUCGCCAACACUUAGGCAGAAAGCCUAAAAGAGGUCAAAACCCGCAUCGGCCGUCCGAAUGACACGCAAACACACUAAUAGCACCGCGUAGGUAAGAGACACGCGUUAGAACUUAUGGGACUCGAUUUUGACAUAUGGAGACCGAGUUAUCGCCCAAUUUGCAAAACUCGCCAACACUUAGGCAGAAAGCCUAAAAGAGGUCAAAACCCGCAUCGGCCGUCCGAAUGACACGCAAACACACUAAUAGCACCGCGUAGGUAAGAGACACGCGUUAGAACUUAUGGGACUCGAUUUUGACAUAUGGAGACCGAGUUAUCGCCCAAUUUGCAAAACUCGCCAACACUUAGGCAGAAAGCCUAAAAGAGGUCAAAACCCGCAUCGGCCGUCCGAAUGACACGCAAACACACUAAUAGCACCGCGUAGGUAAGAGACACGCGUUAGAACUUAUGGGACUCGAUUUUGACAUAUGGAGACCGAGUUAUCGCCCAAUUUGCAAAACUCGCCAACACUUAGGCAGAAAGCCUAAAAGAGGUCAAAACCCGCAUCGGCCGUCCGAAUGACACGCAAACACACUAAUAGCACCGCGUAGGUAAGAGACACGCGUUAGAACUUAUGGGACUCGAUUUUGACAUAUGGAGACCGAGUUAUCGCCCAAUUUGCAAAACUCGCCAACACUUAGGCAGAAAGCCUAAAAGAGGUCAAAACCCGCAUCGGCCGUCCGAAUGACACGCAAACACACUAAUAGCACCGCGUAGGUAAGAGACACGCGUUAGAACUUAUGGGACUCGAUUUUGACAUAUGGAGACCGAGUUAUCGCCCAAUUUGCAAAACUCGCCAACACUUAGGCAGAAAGCCUAAAAGAGGUCAAAACCCGCAUCGGCCGUCCGAAUGACACGCAAACACACUAAUAGCACCGCGUAGGUAAGAGACACGCGUUAGAACUUAUGGGACUCGAUUUUGACAUAUGGAGACCGAGUUAUCGCCCAAUUUGCAAAACUCGCCAACACUUAGGCAGAAAGCCUAAAAGAGGUCAAAACCCGCAUCGGCCGUCCGAAUGACACGCAAACACACUAAUAGCACCGCGUAGGUAAGAGACACGCGUUAGAACUUAUGGGACUCGAUUUUGACAUAUGGAGACCGAGUUAUCGCCCAAUUUGCAAAACUCGCCAACACUUAGGCAGAAAGCCUAAAAGAGGUCAAAACCCGCAUCGGCCGUCCGAAUGACACGCAAACACACUAAUAGCACCGCGUAGGUAAGAGACACGCGUUAGAACUUAUGGGACUCGAUUUUGACAUAUGGAGACCGAGUUAUCGCCCAAUUUGCAAAACUCGCCAACACUUAGGCAAAAAGUCGAAAAAGGGGUCAAAACUCGCAUCGGACUCGAUUCCGACAUACCGAAACUGAGUUAUCGCCCAGUUUGCAAAACUCGCCAACACUUAGGCAAAAAGACAAAAAAUAGGUCAAAACCCGCAUCGGCUGUCUGAAUGACACACAAACACACACAUAGCACCGCGUAGGUAAUAGACACGCGUUAGAACUUACGGGACUCGAUUCCGACAUACGGAGACUGAGUUAUCGCCCAGUUUGCAAAACUCGCCAACACUUAGGCAAAAAGACGAAAAAGGGGUCAAAACUCGCAUCGGUUGUCCGAAUGACACGCCAACACACUAAUAGCACCGCGUAGGUAAUAUACACGCAUUAGAACUUACGGGACUCGAUUCCGACAUACGGAGACCGAGUUAUCGCCGAGUUUGCAAAACUCGCCAACACUUAGGCAAAAAGCCAAAAAAGAGGUCAAAACCCGCAUCUGCCGUCCCAAUGACACGCAAACACACAUAUAGCACCGUGUAGGUAAUAGACACGCGUUAGAACUUACGGGACUCGAUUCAGACAUACGGGGACUAAGUUAUCGCCCAGUUUGAAAAACUCGCCAACAUUUAGGCAAAAAGUCGAAAAAGGGGUCAAAACUCGCAUCGUUCGUCCGAAUGACACGCAAACACACUAAUAGCACCGCGUAGGUAAUAGACACACGUUAGAACUUACGGGACUCGAUUCCGACAUACAAAGACUGAGUUAUCGCGGAGUUUGCAAAACUCGCCAACACUUGGGCAAAAAGACGAAAAAGAGGUCAAAACCCGCAUCUGCCGUCGAAUGACACGAAUACACACAUAUAGCACCGUGCAGGUAAUAGACACGCAUUAGAACUUACGGGACUCGAUUCUGACAUACGGAGACCGAGUUAUUGCCCAGUUUGCAAAACUCGCCAACACUUAGGCAAAUAGCCGAAAAAGAGGUCAAAACUCACAUCGGGCAUCCGAAUGACAUACAAACACACACAUAGAACUGCGUAGGUAAUAGACACGCAUUAGAACUUACGGGACUCGAUUCCGACAUACGGAGACCGAGUUAUCGCGGAGUUUGCAAAACUCACCAACACUU